rnacentral:rRNA from 1 species
UGAGGGAUAUUGCACAAUGGGGGAAACCCUGAUGCAGCGACGCCGCGUGGGUGAUGAAGGUCUUCGGAUCGUAAAACCCUUUUCUGCGUGACGAGACAAGGACGGUAGCGCAGGAAUAAGUCUCGGCUAACUACGUGCCAGCAGCCGCGGUAAAACGUAGGAGGCAAGCGUUAUCCGGAGUUACUGGGCGUAAAGCGCAUGUAGGCGGUUGGACAAGUUGAGUGUGAAAGCUCCCGGCUAAACUGGGAGAGGACAUUCAAGACUGUUCGACUAGAGGAUGGUAGAGGGGCGUAGAAUUCCGGGUGUAGCGGUGAAAUGUGUAGAGAUCCGGAGGAAUACCAGUGGUGAAGACGACGCCCUGGGCCAUUACUGACGCUGAGAUGCGAAAGCGUGGGGAGCGAACGGG